rnacentral:hammerhead_ribozyme from 1 species
AUCUAGCUGACGAAUCUCAAAUGAGAUGAAACGUGCGUCCUGGAU